rnacentral:rRNA from 1 species
GANUUCANGACUACGUGNAUUCGUCUGGGAGUAAACGGGUGGUUCCCGAAAGUGCGAAAGGGGAGAUUCAGGUCUCGCCGAGCGUCGGGCAGCGCUCGCGCGGGAUGGCACUCUCGCGGCCGCGGGGCGACCCGCGGUCCGGGGNNNGGGCCACCCCGCGAGCGCCUGUCCCGACGUCGGAGUGACGCACUUCUCCCCCGGUAGAACGUCGCGACCCGUCGGCCGCCGGCCUAAGGCCCCGGGUGGAGCCUGCGCGGUUCGNCCGCGCACGACCCCGGGGAUCCCGGCCGGGAGUCCGACGGUACGAAGAGAGGAAGGAGUCGGCGCGCCUCGUCUAGCAGGCGUCCGCCCCUCCGCAAGCGCCCGCGGGAGCGGGAGGUCCGGGCCCGGCCCGGCCUCCUCCUUCAGCGGGGCUGUUUGCGAUCAGGAGGUGCGCUCGGAC